rnacentral:tRNA from 1 species
GAUCGGAUAGUGUAACAGGUUAUCACGUCAGUCUAACACACUGGAGGUCCCUAGUUCGAGUCUGGGUUCGAUCA